rnacentral:rRNA from 1 species
CCUAAAAGGUAACGGAGGCGCUCAAAGGUUCCCUCAGAAUGGUUGGAAAUCAUUCAUAGAGUGUAAAGGCAUAAGGGAGCUUGACUGCGAGACCUACAAGUCGAGCAGGGUCGAAAGACGGACUUAGUGAUCCGGUGGUUCCGCAUGGAAGGGCCAUCGCUCAACGGAUAAAAGCUACCCCGGGGAUAACAGGCUUAUCUCCCCCAAGAGUUCACAUCGACGGGGAGGUUUGGCACCUCGAUGUCGGCUCAUCGCAUCCUGGGGCUGUAGUCGGUCCCAAGGGUUGGGCUGUUCGCCCAUUAAAGCGGUACGCGAGCUGGGUUCAGAACGUCGUGAGACAGUUCGGUCCCUAUCCGUCGUGGGCGUAGGAAAUUUGAGAGGAGCUGUCCUUAGUACGAGAGGACCGGGAUGGACAUACCUCUGGUGUACCAGUUGUCGUGCCAACGGCAUAGCUGGGUAGCUAUGUGUGGACGGGAUAAGUGCUGAAAGCAUCUAAGCAUGAAGCCCCCCUCAAGAUGAGAUUUCCCAACUUCGGUUAUAAGAUCCCUCAAAGAUGAUGAGGUUAAUAGGUUCGAGGUGGAAGCAUGGUGACAUGUGGAGCUGACGAAUACUAA